GACGAACGCUGGCGGCGUGCUUAACACAUGCAAGUCGAACGGAAAGGCCCUGCUUGCAGGGUACUCGAGUGGCGAACGGGUGAGUAACACGUGGGUGAUCUGCCCUGCACUUCGGGAUAAGCCUGGGAAACUGGGUCUAAUACCGGAUAGGAGCCAUUUUUAGUGUGAUGGUUGGAAAGUUUUUUCGGUGUAGGAUGAGCUCGCGGCCUAUCAGCUUGUUGGUGGGGUAAUGGCCUACCAAGGCGGCGACGGGUAGCCGGCCUGAGAGGGUGGACGGCCACAUUGGGACUGAGAUACGGCCCAGACUCCUACGGGGAGCAACAGGGGGGAAUAUUUCACAAUGGGCGCAAGCCGGAUGCAGCGACGCCGCGUGGGGGAAUACGGCCUUCGGGUUGGAAACGCCUUUCGCUAGGGACGAAGCUUUUUGUGACGGUACCUAGAUAAGAAGCACCGGCUAACUACGUG
rnacentral:rRNA from 1 species